GAUGAAGAACGUAGCAAAAUGCGAUAAGUAAUGCGAAUUGCAGAAUUCAGUGAGUCAUCGAAUCUUUGAACGCACAUUGCGCCCUGUGGUAUUCCGCAGGGCAUGCCUGUUCGAGCGUCAUUUCAACCCUCAAGCUCUGCUUGGUGUUGGGCCCUGCCCGCUGCGGCCGGCCCUAAAGACAGUGGCGGUGCCGCCUGGCCCUGAGCGUAGUACAUCUCUCGCUCCAGUGCCCGGUGGUAGCCUGCCAGAACCCCAACUCUCGUGGUUGACCUCGGAUCAGGUAGGGAUACCCGCUGAACUUAAGCAUAUCAAUAAGCGGAGGA
rnacentral:misc_RNA from 1 species